CAGCAGUGCCUGCUUGGUGCAUGGUGCAGGUGCACACAAAUGCCAUAUGUGCCUCGUCUUUGCUGCCAUGUGUGCUGGGCCCCCCCAGCCUUGCUCACACUUUCUUCCCGUUGCAUUGAGGGAUCCUUGCUGAAGCUCUGGUAAUGGCACUGGGUUUUUGCAGAGUAACUCAAAUGGUGUAACCUUUUCUCAGAUGGGUCUGCGUGGCUGUGGGAUGACCAGAGGAGUGUUUGAUGCUGCACUGCUCAGAGCUCCCAGCGCCUGGAGGAAUGUGAGAAUCCCUCUUGUGCCCAUCAGGAUACGUGGGAGGCGAGAGGUGCUGAAGGCUGUCAGGCCAAGACAGCAAAAGGAGGACACGAAGUGCAGAGAGAAACUCAGCAGACGAUCCAAACAUUUACGGUGCAGAGGGAACGUACCAAGGAAAUAAGCAGUGACCAUGAAGGUCUCAGGAAUGAAUGGUGACAAAACAGGCUGAUUUGUACUUCAGAGCAGGCAGCACGCCUUGC
rnacentral:lncRNA from 1 species